CUUGAACGCUGGCGGCAGGCCUAACACAUGCAAGUCGAACGGUAACAGGAAGAAGCUUGCUUCUUUGCUGACGAGUGGCGGACGGGUGAGUAAUGUCUGGGAAACUGCCUGAUGGAGGGGGAUAACUACUGGAAACGGUAGCUACUACCGCAUAACGUCGCAAGACCAAAGAGGGGGACCUUCGGGCCUCUUGCCAUCGGAUGUGCCCAGAUGGGAUUAGCUAGUAGGUGGGGUAACGGCUCACCUAGGCGACGAUCCCUAGCUGGUCUGAGAGGAUGACCAGCCACACUGGAACUGAGACACGGUCCAGACUCCUACGGGAGGCAGCAGUGGGGAAUAUUGCACAAUGGGCGCAAGCCUGAUGCAGCCAUGCCGCGUGUAUGAAGAAGGCCUUCGGGUUGUAAAGUACUUUCAGCGGGGAGGAAGGGAGUAAAGUUAAUACCUUUGCUCAUUGACGUUACCCGCAGAAGAAGCACCGGCUAACUCCGUG
rnacentral:rRNA from 1 species